rnacentral:rRNA from 1 species
AGUGAACGCUGGCGGUAGGCCUAACACAUGCAGGUCGAACGGCAGCACAGUAAGAGCUUGCUCUUACGGGUGGCGAGUGGCGGACGGGUGAGGAAUACAUCGGAAUCUACUUUUUCGUGGGGGAUAACGUAGGGAAACUUACGCUAAUACCGCAUACGACCUACGGGUGAAAGCAGGGGAUCUUCGGACCUUGCGCGAUUGAAUGAGCCGAUGUCGGAUUAGCUAGUUGGCGGGGUAAAGGCCCACCAAGGCGACGAUCCGUAGCUGGUCUGAGAGGAUGAUCAGCCACACUGGAACUGAGACACGGUCCAGACUCCUACGGGAGGCAGCAGUGGGGAAUAUUGGACAAUGGGCGCAAGCCUGAUCCAGCCAUACCGCGUGGGUGAAGAAGGCCUUCGGGUUGUAAAGCCCUUUUGUUGGGAAAGAAAAGCGGCAGGUUAAUACCCCGCUGUUCUGACGGUACCCAAAGAAUAAGCACCGACUAACUUCGUG